GAACGCUUACUUCUAGGUCAACUGGAGAACUGGCUCAUGCUUGGUUCAGCUCAUACUUGAACGGCAAAUAAGUGUUAUGUUGAUUAUAAUUGGUGAAGGAUCCUCUGACAGUCUAUAAAGAAUGAUUUUUCUGUUUUUGUUUUUUUCCCCCAGCACGUAUGUGCUUCCUUUUUGGUAUUCCACAAAACUGUUGGGUUACCUGUCUGUUAUGCAGAUGACAUCCAGAUCAUUUGCUUUGUCUGGGCAAUGAAAGACUUGAGAGAACAAACUUCUUCAAGAACCAAGAAAUAAAGUUCAGUUGCUUUUAUUGAGGCUACUACGAUUACCAUGACCUUGAUGACAGAAUCUACACCAUCUUGAAUCUGAUGGCAGCAACCUGUCUUGGUAAAGAUUUUAGAAAGGACCAUAUUUGCCUCAGUGUAGCAUCCAAUCUUUGAGCAAGAGUCUGAGAACUAAAGAGACCAGUUGCUGAGGCUUUAGGAGAUGAAAUUUUCUGUUUUCUCUGACAUGGGAUUCUUGCUGUUCAACACUCCUAGAUGACCUUUGUCAUAUUUUUUGCACCAAAUGUCUUCAGUUGGUAAAGGGACUGGACUGCAGGCAAGCUAGUCCAGCACCUGGAUUCUUACGCUACACAACCAAGCCAUUGUAAAUAUGUGGUUCUCUUACUGAAUUAUACAUGCUCUUCCUGGAAAAACAAAGUCUGGGUGGAGAAUAUUUUUACUAACUUUUCUGUUUUGAUGGAGCCUUUCCAGAUGUACAAAUUGCCAUUUCCAUACAGACCCCACAACCCUUUAGCAUCAGGUACAGCCUUUUGAAGAAUGCUGAUAACAGUACAACCUAUUGCGAACAGAUAUAACUCCUGGUUUUCAGAAUAUUUUGAUGAAAUGGGUUGUAGAUGGAAUAUCCAAAUAUUUUAAAUUUGAACAUUAUUCUGAAAGCGUUUCAGAAUUUGUAGAUGCAGUGUUUUGUUGAACCUCUGCCCUUCUCUCCUGGGACUUAGCCUCUCUAUGGUGCUUUUUCUUUUUGCCAUUUUUCACCCUAACUCCAACUUUGAGUCAUGUUGCUGUAAUCAAAUUUCAAGAUAUUUUUUUAUGAAUUAAUAAAAUGUCUCAUUUUAA